rnacentral:lncRNA from 1 species
UAGCAUUGUUAGACCUUUGUGUUAAGAUUAAGAGCGGACCUGACUAAAUUGCUUAUUCAUGUUUCAUUUCUAAAACAAAAAUAGAUGACUUUAGUAAUGGAGUAUGUCUUUUGCAUAUCUAUACCUCAGCCAAGUAAAGUACACAAUACUUUACUGUUUUUAAUAUGUUUCAUUGCGCUUUAGCUAAUUGUAAUCCCACCGUGCAUG